UAAUUUUUUGCCUCCCAAUUAUAGGAUGGAAUGAACGUGAAAACCAUAAGUCAAUUGUCUCUUAUGCUAAAUUAAAAAUUUAUCUGGGGGUGAAAAAGCCCCUAUACUAUCAAAAGACAAAAAGACCCUAGAAGCUUUUAAACCUAACAAUUUAUUCAGGAAAUUUUUUAGCUGGGAGGGCCAAAAGUUAUCAAUACCCUUUUUUACAAAAGAUAAUAAAUCGAAAAUACUUAACCCCAACAAAAAAAUAAGA
rnacentral:rRNA from 1 species